rnacentral:rRNA from 1 species
AGCUUCAAUAGCGUAUACUUAAGUUGUUGUGGUUGAAGAGCUCGUAGUCGUAACUCUGGAUUGCCUCUUUGUAGUGUUCCUCGCUUCGGUGGGGUUCGCUUAAGGAAGACGGUAUCCUAUUUUUGAUGUUUGGUGGUCGGUGUUAUUAACUUAGCGUCGGCCAACUGCAUCGUUUUUACCUUGAAUAAAUCGGAGUGCUCAAAGCAGGCUCUUAGCUUGUACGAUUGUGCAUGGGAUAAUGGAACAGGACGUCUCGGCCGUUUCAUUGGUUUAAGUUGAGACGUAAUGAUAGAUAGGAACGGACGGCGUGAUUCGUACGAGAGGGUGAAAGGUGAAAUUUUUAGAUCCUUCUCAGACGGGCGGAUGCGAAGGCGUUUCACGAGAACGUUU